AGUACCAGGCAGGCUGUGGAGUAAGGAAGGACCACAGCAGAGUAAAGCAAUGGAGACCGAGGUCUCAGAAACCCUCAGGGAAGUUGGCAUUUUAACUGGUCUUUGAAGACCAGAUGAGGAAACUGAGGCUGAGAGGGUAGAGAACUUUGCCUGAGGUCACUCAGCAGGGACCCACCCAUCACAGUAAAUGCCAGCACUGCUGAUGCCAAAACAAUGUUAUUUGUGCCUGAACACCCUGUCCUACCUGGUCCUACCUGGAUGCUGGCCUCAGUAAGCUCCUGGGCUCAUUGAAGAUGAACCUAGCAGUAGUAUUUACACCACUUGUUGUGUGCCCACUGUGGGCCCGGCGCCAUGCCGAGUGCUCUAUGGAUGUGAGUGCUGGGAGAGAAAAGCAUACGACAUAGACAGGGAGGUCAAGCUCCACCACGCAGAUGAGGUGCAGGCCACCAGUCUUCCUCUGCCACAUCUCUUUCUGAAAAGGACUUCACAUUCACCCUUGCAAUCCAUGUGGGGACACUGUUGGAUAGGAGGCGUGGUCCCAGCGUGGUCUCCCUGUCUGGGCCUCUGCCUAUGCCAAAUGUUUGCCUUACGCUGCACACUCAAGAGGUUCCAUGUAUACAGAUGGGAAUUCCAGAGCUACAGAAAAGGCAGCAAGCACCAUGAUUUAAGCUAACCAGUGUGGAUUCACACCUUCCUCUCUCUCUAUCAGUGGCAGAACUACCAGCUAGAGUAAGAAGUGGUUGAUCCAGGACCUAAACAUUCUGGAAACUCUUGCCCACUUCUGGGAGAAAUGACCCAAUCCAUAGUACUAAGCACACCUUAACUUUCGUAGGACGCAGGCAAGUUGUCAUACCGUGUGCCUAAAUAUAGAAAAAUGAUCCACUGGACUAAUAAAGUGUUAAAUAAAA
rnacentral:lncRNA from 1 species